UAGUCCACGCCGUAAACGAUGAGAACUAGGUGUAGCGGGUAUUGACCCCUGCUGUGCCGAAGUUAACGCAUUAAGUUCUCCGCCUGGGGAGUACGGCCGCAAGGCUAAAACUCAAAGGAAUUGACGGGGACCCGCACAAGCGGUGGAGCAUGUGGUUUAAUUCGACGCAACGCGAAGAACCUUACCUGGAUUUGACAUCCUCUGACCUCCAUGGAAACAUGGCUUUUUAUGCUUGCAUAAACAGAGUGACAGGUGCUGCAUGGCUGUCGUCAGCUCGUGUCGUGAGAUGUUGGGUUAAGUCCCGCAACGAGCGCAACCCUUGUUUUAGUUGCUAUUAUUAAGUUAAGCACUCUAGAAAUACUGCCUCGGUUAACGGGGAGGAAGGUGGGGAUGACGUCAAGUCCUCAUGGCCUUUAUAUCCAGGGCUACACACGUGCUACAAUGGACUGUACAAAGGGUCGCCACUUCGCGAGAAGGAGCUAAUCCCAAAAAGCAGUUCUCAGUUCGGAUCGG
rnacentral:rRNA from 1 species